UUCUCUCUGGCAUGAUCUGUCUACAAGAUAAAUACUCUUUGAAGUUCACUGGCCUCUGCUGUCAAUGCUCCACUGUUGUCCUGGGUUUGGAGAAAAUGAACUCUCUGGUACCCUUAGCUACCCUGCCUGUCUAUGAUGUAGUGGGCGGGGCUAAGGGAAAGAUGGCCAUGACCUGGGCUGACCUGCAUAGAGAGGGAAGCCUUGGGCCUUGUGUCUGUUGGUGUUAAGAUGUCAGCUUCUAGGGAAAACAUCAGCAUAUGGAGGCGACACAGGUGUUGUCCGGGCAGGCUCCAGCUGGCUCUACUCCACUGCUUCUGCUGUCCUUGGUGGUCAUUCCCGUGGUCCUGGAUCUCCAAAAUGCAGUCGUCUCUUCCUUCAACCGGGCUGUGCUUCCACCAGUAGCCUCUCCAGGGCUCUCUCCAGGGACUCCAGCGCAGCCACAGUGCCAAGCCUCAGCUGCUCUCAUGACCCCUUCAUGCCUUCAAACUCAGCAGCACCUUGCUGACUCUUACGCUAUCAAGUCUGGCUGCCAGUGGCAAGGUACAACCUUGGCCACUUCUGGAACACAGAUUCUGUGUGCUGACUAUAAGAAACACUUCCCAGAAUAUUUCACCUCAAUAAUGCUGGUCUCUUUUUUUUUUUUUUUAAGAUUUUAUUUCAUGUAUGUGAGUACACUGUAGCUGUCUUCAGACACACCAAAAGAGGGCAUCAGAUCUCAUUACAGAUGGUUGUGAGCCACCAUGUGGUUGCUGGGAUUUGAACUCAGGUCCUCAGGAAGAGCAGUCGGUGCUCUUAACCGCUGAGCCAUCUCUCCAGCCCUUGCUGGUCUCUUCUUAAUCACCACUAAUUAAUUUCUCAGCUCCAGCCGACCAGCAUCAAUUGUCCCUUGUUAAUCACCACUGACCCUUCAGCCUCAGCUUACCAGAAGGACAGACUCUUAAGUUAAAAUAGCAGAUGGUCCCAUAGGGUCUUUAAACUUCCCUCUGAAACUUCACAAGCCAGGCCUCCAGCUUCUAUGUUUCUCUCAACACCAUCUUCCAAGCUCGAUGGCUUUUUAAAGCCACAUCGCCAAAGUCCUUCCACAAUUCUCCCACAAAAUAUACGUUCAGGUCUGUCACAGCAAUGCCCCCACUACCUUGGCACUAAUAUCUUAGUUAGAGGUUUUUAGUAUUAUUUAAUCUCAGCCUGGUUUCUACCCUGCACUUGAUUAUUCAGUUCCUACAUAAAAGACACAAAACCAUAUUUAUAAUACGCCUUAGAAGCACUAGAGCCACGCUCUAUGCUAUUAUGGCUGCUUCUCCACCAAUAACCCAGAGUUAUGAUUUGCUAUGUUCCACCUGGGGCCAGCCCUCAGGGCCAUGUUUUCAAGACUCGCUCACCCCAUUGAAUCACCUCUUCUCUCCACCUUCUCUCCCCUCUGCGGUGCCCAGUCUCAGACCCCAAGUCCAGAAACCAAAACUCCGCCUAUCUCUCUUCUCUGCCCAGCUAUAGGCCAUUGGCAUCUUUAUUCACCAAUCGGGGAUAACUUAGGAGGCCAAGCUACCGAGCAUCACUUGGGGUGAGUGUCUCCUGGUCCCCGAGGCAGCCAGGGCCAGUGUUCAGCCUGACACACAGAGCAACAGACAAAACCUCAACUGUUUUUACGUUAAGGAGCAAGGUUUGCACAGCAAAGGCGGGAAUUCACAAGGUGGCCUUUCUUAUAGCACCAGGGACCUCCUACCCACAACCAGCUCGGCCCUCCCCUACCAAUCACUAACUAGGAGACUACCUUAGAGGCUUGCCUACAGCCAGAUCAUCUAGAAACAUUUUCUCACUUGAGGCUUCCUUCCCUCCCUAGCUUGUCAAGUUGACAGGAAAACUAGCCCACACACCUAGUGAGCUGAGCUUCUAAAUUUUGCUUUAAGGGUAAAAGCUAAGUACGUGUGCAGACUGGCUACGUAGCUCUUGGGUGAAAAGAUGUUAAACGUUGUGCUUUACAACGCUUCUGAUGUAAGUGUCCAUCAUUUGCAGAAUGGCACCCCAGACUGAAAUGGUAUGUAAACACAGUGUUUUAUUCUGUAGACCCCAAGCAUGCUGAGGUCUCCCAUUACCAAGAUAGACACCCAAGUGAGCUUGAAGACCUGAUUUAAAGCACAUUAGGGAAUUCCAGGGUGGGUGACCUCUGUUAAUCUGUCAGGUCUAUCUCUAGGGACCUUCCAUUACCAGGCAUGAGGGCUGGAGACCUGCUGCGGGGUCUGGAAACUGCUACUGAGGAAGUCUGGAAACGACUGCUGACCCAUUGUCCUUGCCUAAGGCCAAGUGGUGGGGCAGUUCUGAGGCCUGGACUCCUCUGCAAUUGCCCAGUUCUUGGAAACAGGUUUAGGCCUAGUCUCCUUAACUGCCAACUGCUGAUUUGAAGCCUGUCAUGGAAUCAGCCUAGCCUUCUCACUAAGAGGCCUAGCUUAAGAUACUUCGUUGAGAUGGUGUCCUCUGAACCUGAACUGUUUAUAUAGUUCCAGCUAUCCUGGAACUCACUGUGGAGACCAGGCUGGACUCCAGUUCACAGAGAGCUGCUGGGAUUAAAGGUGUACACCAUCCUGCCCUGCUGUUUGUGAUUACGAAUUGUGUUAAAUGACAUUCACACUUGCUAACUCUGUGCACUCCAACAGCACCUCCUAAUAACUGAAGGCUAUUGGAUGCCGGUGGGAACGUAAGAACAUCUGUGAGCGUGUACCCGACUUUUCUGAACUACAGUUCCCAGAAGAAAGAAGGGGGGAGAAGAAUGGAAAAGGAAAAAAGGGAGUGGGGGGGGGAGCUGCACCUCUAUUAGAAGAUUCCACAAGGCCAAAUGACAAAACGUCAAGAUUAUGGAUGCAUUAAAAUGUUUUAGACCAGAGUCAGAUUAUCUUGGGCUUUUAGUUCCCUAGGAAGUCAUUCAUUUCCCACCUCUGUGUCUGACCUAGCAUGGUUGCCAGAGAAAUGGUUCACCAGCACUGGCUGCUCUUGCAGAGGACUAGGAUUUGAUUCCUAGCAUCCACACGGUAGCCCACAACCAUUGAUAACUCUCAGUUCCGGGGCAUCCAAAGCCCUCUUCUGACUUCCAAAGAUAACGGUCGUGAAUACGGUGCACACACAUACAUGCCGGCAAAACUUAAUGCACAACUUCAAUAAAUCUUUAAAAUGUUUUGUUUCUGGCUGGAGAGAUCAAUGGCUCAGCAGUUAGGAGUACCGGCUCCUCUUCCGGCAACCACGGAGUGGCUUCCAACCAUCUACAAUGGGAUCUGAUGCCCUGCCCUCUUCUGUCACGCAGGCAUACGUGCAAAUAGACCACUCAUAUACAUAAAUACGUAAAUCUUUUUUAUAACUCCACACUUUGUUUAAUAUUCAAAUGUAUCCUUAAGACAUCACUAUCUUUCACCAUCCCAAAGCUAAGAAUAUCAUCAGAUAGGGAAUUCCUCCAAGGGUAAGACUAUUACCCCAAAGGGCAAAUUUUGGGGAAGGCUAGGCAAGGUACCACGAGUCACCGUUGUUGGACGGACCACUACCCUGUAGCCCUGAGGUUCUGGGGUCAAAUGGGCCUCCACUGGGGAUCCGCCCUCUACGGCACCCCUGGUAGAGUGGGUAGGUGACCACUAAACCAGAGUCUAGGGACUCAGCAACACCCUUCGGAGCAGUUCUCAAAGUAGCUGUGCAAAUCUGACUAUGUGGUCUGCACCGAGUCGGCUGGUGAACUGAGCACAGGACUCAGAACCUCAUCAACCUGGCCGCCCACGCCUACCGGGGAAGUUCUAAGCUACCGUUAGCAACAGCAGCCGCUGAGGCCUCACUUUGCUCGCGCACGGCAGUUGCUUGAGGAAGCCAUCUCCAACUGGGGACAAUGAGGAAAGCCAGAGAAGGAAGGAGAAAAAAGAAGGGGUACAAAGGAGGGGUGCCGACUUGAUUAAGAACCCAAAAGACUGAAACCCAACAUUCACCGUCUAAGGGUCAAAUUCAUCCCAGUUCUUUAGAAUUAACCAAAGUGGUCAAGCUGGAGUGACGGAAGUAGCCUUCCUUUUGAAAUGGAAGGUCAAAGAUCACAGUUCCCACUGGGGAUCCCUCCGCAGGCAUAAUUCCUAUUGGGGGUCCUAUUUGUUGGCAAGGGACUCAAGAGGCAACUUCUAAGAGACCUCUCUCCUCAAAAGGAACUCGAAGGCAACAGUUCAUCCUUCAGCGACUUGAGGUUGCAACAUUUUAAGAGAUAGCCUUUUAAAAAACGGAUUUCUACAUAUGAGCAUCUGCAGUGGGCCGACUACGGGUGCCAACAGUUAUAAGAAACCACUGGAGAGAUGGCUUUUGCGCAAGGCUUCCCCUUGCUCAUAAGGAUCUUCCGGUGCAGAGGCCAGAAGUUCAUCCUCAAAAGAGGUUAAGUUGCACCUUUUGAAAUUACCUCCUUUUCAAAGACUUCCUUUGACGGGGACAUUUGCAAAGGAUCUGGGACUUCCGUCAGUGGCUAGAAGUAACCAGAUAUGACCCGUUAGGAUGACUCUCAAGACAUUUAAGAUGCAACUUUUGAAAUUUCCCUCCCAUCUACAGGAUCUCCUGGUAUAGAGGCCAACAGUUAGGGACCAGAGCAUCUGCCAAUGACUGGAAGAGGGAACUUUCUGAAAGACCUGCUGUUUGAACCACAGGAAUGGGUAUCCUGGAGGGUCAUGAUCCAUAGACUUGCCAGUGUGAUGUUGAAGCUGGAUGAAAUGAACACAGUCUCUGGGGGGGGCUGGCCAGAAAAGACCCCAAAGCUAAAUAAAGUCCCAGGGUGCCCUACAGGAGUUGUCCUCAAGAAAGGAGGUCUUGGGGUUGGGGAUUUAGCUCAGUGGUAGAGCGCUUGCCUAGAAAGCGCAAGGCCCUGGGUUCAGUCCUCAGCUCCGGAAAAAAAGAAAGAAAAAAGAAAAAAAAAGAAAGAAAGGGGGUCUUUUUCACAGAAGUGUCGCCCUAGUCAGAAGCACAGCCUCAAAAUCUUCCAAGUCCUGAGACAGAAAAAGAAUGUUCCAGAGGAACCUGGAUCCCUCAUCCUUUUGCAUGGUGCCAUGGACACACCCAGAGUUCGAGAGUCCAGCCAUCAGAGCAAAGAGCUCUUGAGCUCCAGCAUUCAAGUGUCGCCAGGCCCACGCCAUAUUGACUCCAUGGAGGAACCUGAGUUAAGAAGCAGAGCAGAGCCUACUUAACGGGUUUAUAUGGGCUCCAGGAGUCAUUGAGCUGCAGAGCAAAGGAACCUCCCAGCACCCAUUCAAAACGGUCACAAGUGGAUGAAGCAUACGUAGAAAAUAGAUGUCCUCUGGUUGGUCCUCAUUUUCAUUAAGGGAAAGCAUGUAUGCCAUUUUCUUGUUUUUAGAGGAACGAAGAAAGGCGGCAAAAGCUCAGAGACUUGGAUGCCACAAGUAGUGGCGCGUUUGGUGGCCCUGAUUUUUGUGCCAGGUGCUCUGGUCACCCCCCAAUGAAGUUCUGACAGGAUGACCAGGCUUCCCUCGUGCUCUGGACAGGAAAGAUAGAUUAUCUCUGCUUCUCUAGUGUCAACUGUUGUAAUGUUCUUGCCAAAAAAAGGGGGGGGGUCUAAAAGUCAUUACAUGAAGUCGGUAGCAUUCUUUCCCAGAGACUGACCAUCAGAGGCCUUGAAAGAAAUGAUUACUUUCAAGGCAGUGUGCCUACCACCGCUGACUGCCUGACCCUUGAAACAUGGAGAUUCAGAGCUACCUGACAGUGGGUGUUUCCUUCCCUUGUUGUGUAGUUCACCUCUUUCUCCUAAGCGAAUGUGACAUUCACUGCUUCUCAUAUUCUCAUCUCGCCAACCCUAAGCCCUAAGCCCUAAGCUCUAAGUGUGCAGAACUUUGGAAGUUUGUGCCGAUUCUGACUAAACUGUCUUGUGGGCUUUACCCUGCGAGGCUCUGUGGAGCCUCAUGGAAGCACUUUCUUCAGCAUUACUGGGUUGCCUCAGAUUGAGGGGGUGGGGUGGCUACCACCUCUCCUUCAUUAAACAGUCUUCUUGUGGCUUCUGGUGACAAUCCUGAGCCAGUGGUGGUAGUCACCUAUCAAUACCAGGACCUAACUCCGGUGCUCUUUGGCUGAAAACUCCAAGCCCCAGGGCCCUUCCUCCCCUUUAGCAAACUUGGUUUGGUUUCUUCCUUGGUGACAGGCUCGAUCCCUCCUUCUUUUAAAAAAGGUCUUAUGUUGGAGGGAUCAGCUACCUUGGCUUCUGUUUGUUUCCUUUCCGUAAUGGCUGUAGUUCCCACUCUCUCCUCCCCUCUAAACUUGACUCAUGCUGCUUGCCCAACCAACUGGAUUUCAGCUGGAUCUUCAUGCCCUCUGAGAGGUGUCUUUAUGCCUUUCUGAGAGUUUUGUGUAUCUGGAUGCUACUGUGGCACUCUUCUUUGUUGUGUCUCGCAGCAGCCUCUGAUGACUCCAUACUACCAUCUCCUGUCUCUUUCCUGAAAAGAAAAGAGUCCAGCCAACUUUAAUCUAUACUUGGUUUUGGCUUCUGUGGGUACCCCCUGUUCCUGAAACUUCCUAGUAUCUCGCGGGCUUGAAUGGCUUUUUUUUUUUUCUCGUUUUGCCAAGCAAAGCCAUGGUCCCUACUCUUAAAUAGGUUUCAAUUGUUGUUACUGCCUCAGGCUUUUUCUUGGGAAAACCAUAACAUGACUUUCGAGGAGAGCGUCUACCACACUGCAAACCUGCCCUCCUCACUCCAGGCAUCUGACAGAGCCAGUCUGAAAAAGGCAAGUGACCAGGAUGAGGGCGCUGGCACUCACCUAUAGAGCCUACAAGCCGGAGACUAUGUUCUGUUUCCCCAGUAGCUGGGAAAGGUGAGUCAAUUCUGCCCAGCUAGCCCAUAGUUCACCCUACUGUUGACAGGGGCAACCCUAAGAAGUCUGACAUCCAAGGGUUUAGGCCCAAGGUGUGGCUCCCAAAUUCUUUGGGGCUCACUAUAAAACUUGCCCUUCUGUUUUUAGAGUGUGGGAGUCCAGAGCUUGGAAACUCAUUUCCUCCACUCGCUCUCCUGAGGACCAGGGUUUUUGCCCUCUCAAGGCUCCCCCUGUGCUCUCCCAAGUUCUCAGGAGCUCAGCAGUUCUCCCCACACACACACUGUUAUGCUCCUAACACACCAGUCAUUAUCAAAGUUUUCCCAACCUCUGGCAUCCACACUGCACCAUUUCCCUGGUGUGGGAGCUAAUGACCUCCCUGCACAGCCCCAGCUUUAGCCACCCUGCCUGUCUGUAAUGCAGUGGCUGUGACUGGGAAGAGGACUGUGAUUUAGGCUGAAGCUCAUACCAGUCUUUGGUCUCCAUGACUCUUGAUGUUAGGAAUAGCAGCGUCCACAAAUGCCACCUAUCUAUGGAAAGGCACCAAUAUCCUAUGGAUAGGGGAAAUGGUGUGUGACAGGCAGAAGCCAGAGAUAAGAGACAGAGUUAGUUGUCUGGGAAAUAAACUGGAAAUGGAUAAUCAGACCUGGCUAGUUAGAGAUGUCAGGGUGUAGCUUUUGUCCUUAAUAACACCAGUAAAUGUUUUGGUCACCCAGCCAGAACAUUUUGAGUGGCAGUCAUUCACAACAAGAUGAUGCCCACAGAAAGAUUGGUCAGAGCAGCCACCAAAACCACUUUAUUCCAAGGAUUGUGUUUGCUUGUCUCUACUCCAGCCAGCACCCUCUGGUUUUUGCCUCUUUGGUGAAACAAAGGUGGUUGUAGAAUUUGUUUGGAACUCUAUAGAAAGUUUGGCUGUAUCUUCCGAUCACCGUGCCUCACACUUUGCCUUCCAUUUUGUUUGGGGCUCCUUUGGAACCAUUUUUGGUGACUUUAUUUGGUAAUUGGCUUUGUCUUACCCAGUUCUUCUGAGGUGUUCCAGUUUUAUAGAAUUUUUUUUUUUUUUUUAGCUAUUAUGCCAUUUGUGUGGGUUUAACAAUUCGAGCGCCUGGCCUACGGCAGGGAAGGCUUCUUGAGUUGCGUUCCAUAGAACCUUUGAGUUAGAGAGGCAGGGGUGUCCAGCAGGUCACAUGACCAUAUGUUGCGUGACGUCUUUCCUAUGGUGGCUAUAGUGUUGUCUAACGCAACCUGGAACAAACCACUGUGCCGCUGGCCGGCCGGCAUUCCUGAAAACGCCACGGUGUAGCCACUUCAUUUUUGCGUUCCUUUUUUUAACUUCUUGGCAUGCCUUUACAAAACAUUUUGAGCAGAAGGGUGACAGCAACCCCCCUGGGUGGACAUGCCUACCCCGGGCAGCACAGACUGACAAACGACUUAUCCCUGGGACCAGAGAGCAAUGCCGAGUCUGCGAGGGAGAUUUGAAUCUGUAGGAGCACAUGGACAGCCAGACCCAAGAGCUUAUUAGCUAAGUACGUCAAACUAAGAAAAAGGUGCAAUUCCUCCACCUGGACCCCCAUAAACCGAUGACCUCUCAAUACCAAGAUGGAGUGAUCCCACCUCAACCUGUCAUCCGAUGCCUGGGAUGCUUCAAGGACUGACUCCCCACCAUCCCUUGAGUUUGGAUUUGGCUCUGUGCCCUGCUGUGGACACAGCCUGGCGUUCAUUCACCCAGCUGUUCCUGAGCCACCAUUUCCAGCUCCUAACCUGUUUCCUGCUUUCACCUCACAGCUCAACUUUUUGCUGCCCUGUGCUCUGUGGCUCUGUGAACCCGACUCGGCAGCCCCAGCUAAAGCCCUGACCCAGCACUGGCCUGGCUCAUUAUUCCGUCAAUACAGACUCUUCUUCUUCUUCUUCUUUCCCACUUCUGAAACGUCUUGACCUCUACCUCAGCUCGUUCUGUCACCUACAUAAACGUAUAUAGAUAUAUAUAUCUGCUGUGUGAUAUGAGAGUUAACGCUAGUAAUUAAGGUUGGAAUGAAAGAGUGUGCAUUCACCUCCAGCAGGCUCCCAAGGCAGACAGAUGACAAACCGCUGAACUGGAACUGGAGAGAUGGCUAAGAGUGGGCUGGGUGGGCUUGGGGAUUUAGCUCAGUGGUAGAGCGCUUGCCUAGCAAGUGCAAGGCCCUGGGUUCGGUCCCCAGCUCCGAAAAAAAAAAAAAAAAAAAAAAAAGAGUGGGCUGGGUUCAGUUCCCACAUAAGUGGCUUACAACUGCCCAGAACUCCACCGGCAGCAGGUUUGACACCACCGGCCUCUGCGAACGCCUGUGUUCACAGCUCACAGACCCCCACAGAGACAAACACACACACAUAACGUUUUAAGGUUUUUUUUUAAGACUUUUUUUAUUUAUGAGCGCUCUGUCUGCAUAUAGAUUUGCACACCAGAAGAGGGCAUCUGAUCCCAUUACAGAUGGUUGUGAGCCACCAUGUGGUUGCUGGGAACCCCCCACCUUUGGAAGAGCAGUCAGUGCUCUUAACCCCUGAGCCAUCUCUCCAGUCCAACUUUUUAAGUUUUUAAAUGGAAAAAAAAAUGUAAAGGAAACUGCUAAACCGUGUGGCUUUGUUGCCAUUCAGUAAAUUCUGUCCUUGGGGAAAGACAGAAAUGUGGCCAUCUGUGUUCCCGAUGUAAGGCAUGACCUGUGCUGAGGCUGAGAAAAAAAAAAACAAAAAACAAAAAAACAAAAACAAAAGCAAAAAAACCCCACAGGAUUUACAAGAGAGAAAACUUAUAGCCUAAAAGAUAAUUAAACUGAAGUGUGCUUUUAUUAAGUACUGGAAAAUCUCCAAACUGAUUUUUGCUGGGCAAACUUAAAAUGUAAAUUCCGAAGAUUUUAAUUUAUAAUUCCUUUAUCAUCAUCAUCAUCAUCAUCAUCAUCAUCAUCAUCAUCAUCAUCAUCAUCAUCGAUUUUCGUAUUGAGACAAGGCCUCACUAUGCAGCCCUGACUAGCCAGGAAAAUCACUGUGUAGAUCCACUGACCUCAACCUCCGAGAUCUGCUUGCCUCUGGAGUGCUGGGAUUAAAGGCAUGCACUACGAUGUAUGACCCUACAUUUUGUUUAAAGAAUGUUUUAAAAUUAGUUAUUUGAAUAUAUGGAUAUGUUAACAGAAAA